CCCUUAGAUGUCCUGGGCCGCACGCGCGCUACACUGAUGCAUUCAACGAGUUUUACCUUGGCCGAGAGGCCUGGGCAAUCUUUUAAACCUGCAUCGUGAUAGGGAUAGAUUAUUGCAAUUAUUAAUCUUGAACGAGGAAUUCCUAAUAAACGCAGAUCAUCAAUCUGCAUUGAUUACGUCCCUGCCCUUUGUACACACCGCCCGUCGCACCUACCGAUUGAAUGGUCCGGUGAAGCCUCGGGAUUGUGGCCAGUUCACUUUAUUGGGAGUUGGCUGCGAGAACUUGUCUAAACCUUAUCAUUUAGAGGAAGGUGAAGUCGUAACA
rnacentral:rRNA from 1 species